AUUUGCUGUGAAUGAGAGCUGUGCCAAGAGAUCUUACUGGAAAACCCACAGAGUUAUACACAACAUUACACACGACAUAACAUAAACAUGAGUACACAGAGUCACAGAAGAAGAAGAAAAACACGAAGACGGAGAGUAAGAAGAUCACAACAGUCAAAACAAAGAAUGUAAUUUUGUUCAUUGUUAUGUUGUACAAGACCAGAAAAACUGUGUGUGUGUGUGUGUGUGUGUGUGUGUGUGUGUGUGUGUAAGCUGCUCUUUCUGUCCUCACACAACCCACACUAGGUAAGAAAUCAAAUGUGAAAGAGCAUUAA